GUCUACGGCCAUGCCACUCUGAACAAGCACGAUCUCAUCUGAUCUCAGAAGCUAAGCAGGGUCGGGCCUGGUUAGUACUUGGAUGGGAGACCACCUAGGAAGACCAGGUGCUGUAGGUG
rnacentral:rRNA from 1 species